rnacentral:rRNA from 1 species
GACGAACGCUGGCGGCGUGCUUAACACAUGCAAGUCGAACGAGUGGCGAACGGGGGAGUAAUACGUGAGUAACCUGCCCUCUUUUUGGGAUAAGCCUUGGAAACGGGGUCUAAUACCGGAUAAAGGGGGAUGGGCUCGUGGCCUAGCAGCCUGUUGGUGGGGUGAUGGCCUACCAAGGCGGUGACGGGUAGCCGACCUGAGAGGGUGACCGGCCGCAUUGGAUGUGGGCUACGGCCCAGACUGAUACGGGAGGCAGCAGUGGGGGAUAUUGCACAAUAGGCGGAAGCCUGAUGGAACAACGGCGGGUGGGGGAUGAAGGCUUGCGGGUUGUAGACCUCUUUCGCUAUCGAGGGGGGAAGUGGAGGAGAGACGCCGGCUGAAUACGUGCCAGCCGCCGCGGUAAUAC